UGGGGAAUAUUGCACAAUGGGCGAAAGCCUGAUGCAGCGACGCCGCGUGAGGGAUGGAGGCCUUCGGGUUGUAAACCUCUUUCGCUCAUGGUCAAGCCGCAACUGUGGGUUGUGGUGAGGGUAGUGGGUAAAGAAGCGCCGGCUAACUACGUGCCAGCAGCCGCGGUAAUACGUAGGGCGCGAGCGUUGUCCGGAAUUAUUGGGCGUAAAGGGCUUGUAGGCGGUUGGUCGCGUCUGCCGUGAAAUCCUCUGGCUUAACUGGGGGCGUGCGGUGGGUACGGGCUGACUUGAGUGCGGUAGGGGAGACUGGAACUCCUGGUGUAGCGGUGGAAUGCGCAGAUAUCAGGAAGAACACCGGUGGCGAAGGCGGGUCUCUGGGCCGUUACUGACGCUGAGGAGCGAAAGCGUGGGGAGCGAACA
rnacentral:rRNA from 2 species